rnacentral:pre_miRNA from 1 species
UACAAUGUUUUGACUCUUCGUAUUACUCGAAUUUUUUUGCGAUUAAUAUUUUUAUUGUUACUAGAUGAUAAAAUAUAAAUAGUACUUUAUGUGUGACUAAUUUUUUUAAAAUUUUUUUAAAUAAGAUGAAUGCUCAAACGUUAGACACUGAAAAAC